GUCUCUGCUUGUCUUCCUAAAGAGAAAAUGCCAAGGCCAUGUGAUGGAAAGAAAGCUUCCGGUAGCUACCGGUUCACAAACUCCAGCUACACACACAGAGGACUUGAACUCUCACUGAGUUCCCCACAUGACUGGAACGACUCCUGAGUCACAGUGCUUCAUGGGACCAGCUGUUCCAGGGACUUGGUGUCAGGGAUUCACAGGGAGAAACACAGCCGUCACACUACACGUCCGUACAAGCAAUACCUACUAGAGAAAGCACAGUGCUGAGACCUGGUGACAUAGAGGGAAGAAAGAAGUUGCAAACCACACAGGAAUAAGCAUCAAGCCUAUUUAUUGACUGGUUUCUUCCCCUGCACUGCCCCCUUGUGGUAGAAAGCCAUUGGUUCUUUGGUAGAAAAGAAGACAGGUGAGAACCAGAAAUAAGAGGCAACAACACAGCAAAGAAGGGAAGUCAAUGCCCCAAGAGGAGCUGCCUAACUCCUUGGAGCUUGUGGGGAGCCCUGCCAUACAAGGACUUCCCGCUCCUUGCUUUGUGGCCCUGUGAGAGGUGGCUGCGGCUGCCCCACACUGACUCUUACACCCCGGGCAGUUCUGAGCAAUGUAACCUAAG
rnacentral:lncRNA from 1 species